rnacentral:rRNA from 1 species
UACGUAGGGUGCAAGCGUUGUCCGGAAUUAUUGGGCGUAAAGAGCUCGUAGGCGGUUUGUCGCGUCUGGUGUGAAAAUCCAGGGCUUAACCCUGGACCUGCAUCGGGUACGGGCAGACUAGAGUGCGGUAGGGGAGACUGGAAUUCCUGGUGUAGCGGUGAAAUGCGCCAGAUAUCAGGAGGAACACCGGUGGCGAAGGCGGUCUCUGG